AGGGUGGCGGGGGGCGCUAUCUCAGCUACAAUCGGUCGGAAGGCGUGGUACACACUGGACAAGUUGCCAUCUCAUCGCAGGCAUGUGAAAAAUAAGCCUGAUGAAUAGCUCCUCCCCCUCCACCUUGUGGUGACAUCACAACGCAGCCUGAUGCUAAACCCUGCGAAGAGAGGCAUCCAAAAAUGGCGUGCAAGCUCACACCAAAAAUGCAAGACUAUCCAACAUUGUAACAUUUAUGAGCCAAAAAAGACAGAGUUCAUCAUACCUUAGAUCCCCUUGAAGAAAAAAUCAAAUUUGCUGUCAAAGUUUACUAUUUAAGUUGUUUAUAUCAAUUUAGGAAUGUGUAACACAAGCUACACCCUUUGCAACAAUACACACUUGUUCAUUACUUCUGGAAGUGGCAAACACAGCAUUGAACGCGUCACUGCUCACUCAACACAGAUGUCAGAAGGUCAUCAAAGCUCACUUUCAUGCAGUAAAACAUUUAGAAAACCAGAAUAAGGUAAUCGGAGAAAGGUAAAAAAUUUAAUGUCUUUUAUCGGACAAACUUAUGUUUAAGUUUCACUUUUGCAUCUCAUAGCACAUACCCGUGGUGCAUUCAAGGAACCAGGAUUAACGUUCGAAAAGGAGGUAUCGAUACUUUUUAAAGACAGGGGAGGCUUAACCCCUUGCACUAAGAAUAAUUAAUAUAUAACAGUAUAUGAUGAUAUAUACAAUUAUAUAAUAAUUACGUAUUAUUAUUAUUAUACUGAUGAUAAUCCUGCAUGAAUCAGCCUUAGUCUAUGACAGGGGUCGGGAACCUUUUUGGCUGAGAGAGUCAUGAAAGCCAAAUAUUUUGAAAUGUAUUUCCAUGAGAGCCUUAUAUUAUUUUUUUAACACUGAAUACAACUAAAUGUGUGCAUUUUUAAGUAACGUCAACAUUUUUUGAGUACAAUAACUCAUAUUCUUUUUAACAACAUUUUUAUUCCGAAGCUAACAAAUAAAUAGAAUACUUCUUACCCUUAAUGCGAAUUCUUGAACCGAUGCGUUAGAAAACGAAUGGAUGGACUAAAAUGCAGGAGAAUGUUUUGUAUUUUGAAAAAAAAUGUUUAACUCCGAUUACCAGAGGAAAUAUUAAUUUCUUAUCGUGUUAAGCAAUGUCAGCUAAAAUUAAUCCGAGAGCCAGAUGCAUCCAUCAAAAGAGCCACAUCUGGCUCUAGAGCCAUAGGUUCCCUACCCCUGCUCUAUGAAGUUAAGGAAAACUAUUUACUUGAACUUAAUUUAUUAUCCUUAUUAAAAUGAAUAAAGACAGGUUGUAUGAUAAUUAAAACGUACUGUCCGUCUUUUUUAUUAAAUUGGUCAACAUUAUUUUGUAAAAAAAAAAAAUAAUAAUAAUUACUUUAGAGAAUUAAAAAAUACCAAAUAAUUUAAGGACAUUUAAUGAUAUAUUAGGGGGUCUAAUGAUGACACUGGUGGGUCUCACUGGUUCGAACGCUUUAUUUAAAAAAAAAAAAAAACAUUAUUGAUGAGACUAAGACUAAAGCAUGUAAAUAUUGUGGACUUCAUCUUCAUGGAGCGUGCCAUUCACUGUACUUCCUGGUUGUCAUGCGUGUGGCGCACCAGACAAUUACAUGUGUGAAUGCUUCUCUGCAGACACACAAUGAUGCACGGAUGAGAGUGUUUACAUGCACCAAGGAACGGGUUUGCAUUCACUUCAUCAAAAUAUGCUGAUCUCUAAAAUCUUUAUCAAAAAUCUAUAAAAAGUUGAAAACCUUAUCAGAGUGUUUUCCAUGCAAUAUCUUGGGGGACAUAUAAUCCUGCACAUUUUUUAUUUAAAAAGGCUUGUUUCCACCAAAUUGUUUUUUUAAAAAGGCUGGUUUCCACCAAAUUAAGUCAAUGUUUUAAUGUUUUUUUUUAAUGUUUUUUUUUUAAGUGUAUGUCAACAUACUGAGUGUAUAUACUGUAUGUGGGGCGGUGAUGUUUGGUUUAGGGUGAGAUGGGGGACAUUUGAUCUGCCACCAAUCAUCAAUCCAUUUAUUUUCUACCACUUGUCCCUUUUGGGGCUGCGGGGGGUGCUGGAGCCUCUCUCUUUAUUUUUUUUUUUAUUGAUUUUUUUUUUUUUUUGUCCUGUCCAGCUUCUCAGGAAAAACAUAUAGUUGAUGUAGAUGCCCAUAUCGGCUGUUCAGAUUUACUUUACAAAAGAAGUGUAGGACACUUAUGUUGUUGCCUUAUUUCAAUUUGACUGAAUGUAUUUAUAUUAUCAUUUGGUGCAGCCAGGCCGGAGCAGGAGGGGAUAGAAAGACACAAAAGGAAGACAGAGGGGGAAAUUGUGAGGAUAAGAGGGGGAUUAGACAGGGAGACAAAAACAACAACAACAACAAAAACAACAAUAGAACACCAGCACAUUCAGUACGAUAUGUACAAAUGAUCGUAAAAGUGAUAGCAAAGAAGCAGUUAGCGAUAAAUAAUACAGAAAUGAUAAUGAGCAUUUUUACACUACAACUGGAGCAAUACAAAUACCAAUAGAAAAAGCGCUAUUGAUAAUGAACAAUACCAAUAAUUUACCUCUAUUAUCAACAAUACAGUUGUUCAAAUGCAACAAUACAUAUACGAAAUGAUAGCUAGAGAUGAAAAAAAAAAAGGAAUACCGAAAUAUGAAGGGGAAGAGAGAGAGAGGCAACCUAUAUUAACCUUGUAGAUUGUUAUAGUAAAAAUGAGUGCCAUGUGUUUCCCAGUUUCCCCUAGGGCAACAACGUUAAUAUAUGUUUGAUGAAACGUGAUUAUGUGCAUGAGUGUGUGUAUGUAUGUAUAUGUACUUGUAUAUGUACAGUAUGUGUAUUUGAAUGUUUAUACAGUGAAUGUAUAUGUACAUGUAUGUGUAUGUUUGUACAGUGAAUGUAUAUGUACAUGUAUGUGUAUAUGUAUGUUUGUACAGUGAAUGAGCGUGUGGAUGGACAAAGUAUGUCGGUAUGUACUGUAUUUGUGUACGUAUGUGGGAGCGUAGGUACCUAUGUAUUUAUGUAUGUAUGUAUGUAUGUAUGUAUGUAUGAAUAACGGUGUGUGUGUGAGUAUACAGUAUGUGCAUUUGUAUGUACAAUAUAUUUGACUCCCAGUGUGUGGGAGCCAGAGUACGGCCCCAGCCACCCAGAGAACCUAACUCAAACAGCAGGAGCCUAUUUCAGCUACAAUCGGGCGAAAGGCAGUGCACACGCUGGACAAGUCGCCACCUCAUCACAGGGCCAACACAGAUAGACAGACAACAUUCACACUCACACUCAAACCCUAGGGCCAAUUUAGUGUGCGUGGAGCCGCUCCCUCAACAUGCAUUACAGCACAUACAUUGCAAUUUUUUAAUAUCUUAAGUAGUGUUAUCACUGGAGGGUGAGGUUGAACAUGUCACACACUAAGUGCUAGUCAGGAACAGGUAUGGUAACAGCUAGGCUAACCGCUAAAAUAGUUUGACCCCACACUGUCACUGUUUGACUUCCUCAUAAAAAGGGGACACAUUUGUUCAACAAACAUUCAAUAGUGUUAGUGAAAAGCCUCAACAAACAAGUUUUAACCUGUCACUCCCCAUGGCUCGGAAGGUGUGGCUAAAAGAGUCAGGAAGGGGCUGAGGCCUUUAUGUAGGUGAGCACACCUGCUUGGACUAAUUAGGCCUAAUUUGGGCCAAACCAUGAUUGUCAGUAACUGGGUGUUGAAGAGGGACACUGGACAUUUGAAAGUUGUGUUGUCUAAGCCUGAAUACACUGGGUACACAAAUGACUGCUUUACAAAUACAAAAGUACAAUGUGAAUACUUUUUAGACAUGUGAUAGUUACUUAUGAUGUAAAUUACAAAAUUACUGAUUUCUUAAUUCCCCCUGUCAAAUUGGUCCCAGCUAGUGGGCGGGGCUAUGGACUUUUUAAGUGGGGAAAAUGUCAUGUUUCUGCCAGGGGUAGAAAUAGGAAAGAAGAAGACAGUAUUACUAGAAUGAGAUUAGGACAUACAUAUCUAAAUAGUUCCCUAAAACUGAUAGGCAAACAUACUACAGGGCUGUGUGAUUUUUGCCACCAGAUAGAAAAUGUUGACCAUGUCUUAAUACAAUGUAGGAAAUAUAAUAGAGAAAGAGAAAUACUGGAAAAUAAGUUAGCAAAAGAAAAUAUUAGGUUAGAAGUGGGAAGUAUAUUAGGAUUGCAUUCAGAAAACAUAGGAUACAAAGCAAUAUACACAUAUUUAAAAAACACUGGGUUAAAUAAAAGAAUAUAGAGUAGGGAUCCACCUCGGUCCAAACUCCAUUACAGUAGGUGGCGGUAAUGCACACCAGAAGGUUGCUUGCCAACCACCAUAAAAACAAAAGAAGAAGAAGAAGAAGAAGGUUUCUGCCAGUCUGCUGUCUGUCACUGCCAGAGGAGGAUGUCUGUCCUGACCAAGAGUUUCGAGGUUCAUACAUCAAACCAACUACUGAGAUUGUGGGUGCUUGGUCUUUCUGUUGUUGUUCACCUCUUGACACUUUUUGGGAUUUUAAAUAAAUGUUUGUAAACUGUUA